CUUGCUUACAGAAGGACAUUUUCAACCAUUAACUGUAUUUCAAGUCUUCUCAGCUAUUAAAGAAGAUUGCAUGGAUACUUAAAACACCCUGACAUAGCUACAUUUCUUGCAAUGGAAUACGAAACACAGCACUGUGUACUCAGGUUCAUGGAAUGGAGACUGUCCUUCAAGAUAUUUGUUUGUAAAAUGUGCUUCCUCCUACCCAUGUCAUACAUGGCAGAACAUUAUUUACAGUAUUUCAACCUCUAUUUUUGAGCCUGAUUAUAUUAGUGAGAUAAUGAACAACGAGCAAGAAAUAGGUUGUCACAACAAAGGAAUUAUUUGAGGUUUUUCUGUCUUUAGUUUUCCAGAAAUAAAAGAUCUUACUGGAGGUACAGUGUAAUUUUACUAAAAUACCUUUAGCUUGCUGCAGGGGAGGUUUUUUCUUUUAACUUUGUGUUGUCCCACCAGAAACACUGAUAUUUCAGCAGCAUCUCAAAAGAAAACAUGGAAUCCAGCCUUUUCUGGAUGUAUGCAAAGAAGAUUUAAAAAAAAACCUAGCACAGGAGGUCAGAAAAAAGAGGCUGUGUCUUACCAUGGAGGUGAACCAGAAGCUGGCUGUUCCUGACAACCUAUGGAGAAAAAUUCUUCCAUAUGGCUGAUUUGAAAACUCUACAUCACAGAAGAGUAGCUGAAAUUUGGAAAGAUGGUCAUAGAUGGCAGAAGUGCAGCUUGACAGCUAAGCUGCAGACCUGUGACAUUAUUGUCCCCUACCUGCCUCCUUGAAACUGGAGACCCACUGAAGUGAAAGACAAGGACAUUGUCAGCUUUUCCCCAUUGCUGGAAUAGGCAGUUGUCUGAUACAGGAGCCUUGAAGUACAAACUGGACACCACUCUUAAAGAAAUGAAGGAAAUAUGAAAUUCUCUGUCACAGAUCUACAUCUACAACCUAUCUCAUCCUCCUCUCAUACCCAUUUCCCAUCCCUGUGACAUUAUCCCAGAGUCAAGGAACUGAUUUCUGGCUUACAAUGCUUAUGAUGUUAUUUACAGAAAAAAUUGUUUGACUUGUAACAGACACACCAUUCUAGUUUGAUGUUGAAGUACAAAAUGCGAAAGGGAGGCCGUUAAGCACUGGGAGAGUUUUUUUAAAUAGAAAAACCCUUUGUUUUUAUUUGUAAGAAGUUCUAUGGGUUGUGGACAUUUGUGAUCAGGUCAAAACAAAGUGAUUUAUUCCAUGGGAGAAAGAAUAGUAUAAAAAGAAUGUCAUGGAUAGAUGUAACUUGUGAUGAGCUGACCAUAACCUACAUUCCCCAUCUCCCUCACUGCUGGGGACAUUGAUGUAGACCUGGGAAGGUGGGAGGGAUAGGGGGGAGGUGUUUAUAGGAUUUAUUUUACUUCUUAUU